ACUGGGACUGAGACACGGCCCAGACUCCUACGGGAGGCAGCAGUGGGGAAUUUUGGACAAUGGGCGCAAGCCUGAUCCAGCCAUGCCGCGUGUCUGAAGAAGGCCUUCGGGUUGUAAAGGACUUUUGUCAGGGAAGAAAAGGGCGGGGUUAAUACCCCUGUCUGAUGACGGUACCUGAAGAAUAAGCACCGGCUAACUACGUGCCAGCAGCCGCGGUAAUACGUAGGGUGCGAGCGUUAAUCGGAAUUACUGGGCGUAAAGCGGGCGCAGACGGUUACUUAAGCAGGAUGUGAAAUCCCCGGGCUCAACCUGGGAACUGCGUUCUGAACUGGGUGACUAGAGUGUGUCAGAGGGAGGUAGAAUUCCACGUGUAGCAGUGAAAUGCGUAGAGAUGUGGAGGAAUACCGAUGGCGAAGGCAGCCUCCUGGGAUAACACUGACGUUCAUGCCCGAAAGCGUGGGUAGCAAACAGGAUUAGAUACCCUGGUAGUCCACGCCCUAAACGAUGUCGAUUAGCUGUUGGGCAGCAUGACUGCUUAGUAGCGAAGCUAACGCGUGAAAUCGACCGCCUGGGGAGUACGGUCGCAAGAUUAAAACUCAAAGGAAUUGACGGGGACCCGCACAAGCGGUGGAGCAUGUGGUUUAAUUCGAAGCAACGCGAAGAACCUUACCAGGUCUUGACAUCCCUCUGACCGCUCUAGAGAUAGAGUUUUCCUUCGGGACAGAGGUGACAGGUGGUGCAUGGUUGUCGUCAGCUCGUGUCGUGAGAUGUUGGGUUAAGUCCCGCAACGAGCGCAACCCUUGUCAUUAGUUGCCAUCAUUAAGUUGGGCACUCUAAUGAGACUGCCGGUGACAAGCCGGAGGAAGGUGGGGAUGACGUCAAGUCCUCAUGGCCCUUAUGACCAGGGCUUCACACGUCAUACAAUGGUCGGUACAGAGGGUAGCCAAGCCGCGAGGUGGAGCCAAUCUCACAAAACCGAUCGUAGUCCGGAUUGCACUCUGCAACUCGAGUGCAUGAAGUCGGAAUCGCUAGUAAUCGCAGGUCAGCAUACUGCGGUGAAUACGUUCCCGGGUCUUGUACACACCGCCCGUCACACCAUGGGAGUGGGGGAUACCAGAAGUAGGUAGGGUAACCGCAAGGAGCCCGCUUACCACGGUAUGCUUCAUGACUGGGGUGAAGUCGUAACAAGGUAGCCGUAGGGGAACCUGCGGCUG
rnacentral:rRNA from 1 species